rnacentral:lncRNA from 1 species
ACCUGGUCGCUCCCCUGGUUCUGCUACCUCUCGCCCUCUACCCCUCCAGAGGAAAGAUUCUGUUGUAUGUGGUGACUCUGGUGUCCUUCAUAGUCCCAGCAGCUGUUAUCUACACCAAUGACCUUCCUCCGGCAUCGAUGAUUGGCGGUACAGAAAACGUCGAUAAUAUGGCUUAUCAGAUUCUGGUGUACUUU